rnacentral:rRNA from 1 species
GACAGAGGUGGCGAGCGUUGCUCGGAUUUACUGGGCUUAAAGGGCGCGUAGGUGGCCUUGUAAGUCAAAGGUGGAAUUCCACAGCUCAACUGUGGAACUGCCUUUGAUACUGCAAGGCUUGAGUCAGGUAGAGGAGGGCGGAAUUCCCGGUGUAGCGGUGAAAUGCGUAGAUAUCGGGAGGAAGGCCGGUGGCGAAGGCGGCCCCCUGGGCCUGUACUGACGCUCAUGCACGAAAGCGUGGGGAGCAAACAGG